CAUCCGUGUCACAUCACGUUCCCCUCACUCACUCCACCCAGCCCCACCGGCCUUCCCAGUGCCCCUUGAACACUCCAAGCACAUGCCCACCGCAGGGCCUUUGCACUAGCUGUUCCCUUUGCCUGGAAGGCUCUCCCGGCGAAUAUCCGCGUGCUUCAUUCCCAACUCCAUCGCACAUCACCUUCUCAGGAGGGUCUCCUCCUCCCCUGACCGCCCCACCUAACAGAGCCUCCUUCCUUCCUCUGGGGACCCACAGAGGGAUCGGCUGAAGGUUCAGUGAAGGACUCUCGGCUUGGGAAUCUCACGGGAAGAAAAGAGACGAGCAUGUGCCGAGCACCUACUGUGUGCCCGGCCUUGGGUCAGAACCACCUCUGCGACCUUAUUUGAUCACAGGGGUCCUUCCAGGGAGGACCAUGUCGUCUUCUUCUAUUUGCAGGUGAGGAAAGAGGCUCAGAGAGGGGAACCGACCUGCCUGAGGCCUCACGGUUUGUAAGUGACAGAGCUGUCCCCAGCCCUCCACCCGCUGCCCUGGAGAUGGAGGUGUGGGACCCUCGGCAUCCGAGGGGACAGCCGACGCGGACAAGACCGUCCCGAGGGGGUGUGAUAAGGAGCACGAUGAUAGAAGUGAUGUAUCCCUGGUCUGAGCGCGUCACGUGUCCUCUCCGGUUCCAGCCUCUCCACGCUUCGAUGCGGCUCGGACCGUCAGCGUCUACUUCCCAGCACACAGCACCGGCCAGGUGCGUGGCCCAGCCGGGAGUCCGUCCCAGGCAGUUCGCUGCUAGAACGCACGAAGCCGCUCCCGUUCUGUGCACCUCGGCAGAAAAGGAGGGAAAAGGAGUCAAGGGAGGAAGGGCAUCAUGUCUGCGACACGGCGGCACGUUACAGGAGUUCAUGUGUGGGGGGGCCUGACCUCUGAGUUUGACGAGAGGGUGCGCCUUAUCCCUGAGCAAACCCAUCUGCCCUGGGGAGCUCCGGGGAGGGCAGGCUGCUCCCCUCAACUGAGUGGGCACAGUGCAGGCAGAUGGGCCCAGG
rnacentral:lncRNA from 1 species